AACACAUACACACAAGUGAAAGGAAAUAAGAGUUCUAUUUUCUCUCUCAUUCUUCUGUCUUCAGAUCCAAAUCUCUCUUCCUCUUCUGUUCUCUCCCAGAUCCCUGAAUUAACCUAUUGGGAUCCUCGACAAUCGAGUUUGGGUCCAUCCGUUUUCGCUUACUGAAUCCUGGGGAAUUUAGAUCGUAUCGGUUUGUAAUCUUGCAUUUGGAUCUGAUUGAGCUCGCCAGAAAAGCUUUAAAACGGACCCAAUCAUGAAUCCCUUCUCGUCCGGUACGCGUCUAAGGGACAUGAUUAGGGCAAUACGUGCUUGCAAAACUGCUGCUGAGGAACGUGCAGAAAAGAAUGUGCUGCCAUUCGUGCUGCAAUUAAUGAAAAUGAUCAAGAUUAUAGACA
rnacentral:misc_RNA from 1 species